AUUCAGCUGACGAGUCUCAAAUAGGACGGAACGCGCGUCCUGGAU
rnacentral:hammerhead_ribozyme from 1 species